CAAUAGCGUAUAUUAAAGUUGUUGCAGUUAAAAAGCUCGUAGUUGGAUUUGUGGCGUACGGUGUGUUCCGGGCACUUGUUGUCUGAGUAACCUGCUGUUGCCAUCCUUGGGUGGAACCUGUGUGGCAUUAGGUUGUCGUGCAGGGGAUGCCCAUCAUUUACUGUGAAAAAAUUAGAGUGUUCAAAGCAGGCUUAUGCCGUUGAAUAUAUUAGCAUGGAAUAAUGAGAUAGGACUUUUUUGCUAUUUUGUUGGUUUGCGCAAAGAGGUAAUGAUUAAUAGGGACAGUUGGGGGUAUACGUAUUCCAUUGUCAGAGGUGAAAUUCUUGGAUUUUUGGAAGACGAACUACUGCGAAAGCAUUUACCAAGGAUGUUUUCAUUAA
rnacentral:rRNA from 1 species